rnacentral:tRNA from 1 species
CUAUGGAGUACAGAAAUGUACAAGAAGGCUUUACUCACUCGUUGUCAGUUUUGAUGGAGUUUGGGGCCAUAGCUCAGCUGGGAGAGCGCCUGCCUUGCAAGCAGGAGGUCAGCGGUUCGAUCCCGCUUGGCUCCACCAUCUACGGUGUUUUGUUUACACAAAACGCACUUGUACCUUGAAAACUAGAUAGCGAAACAAAGCGAGAACUUAGAACAUCCUUAGUAUAAAGCGAAGUGUUUCGUUUGAAGUGAGCGACUUUGCAGAUGAAUGUUCACCUUACGUGUGAUUGAAAACAUUCAGGUGCAGCGAAAGCCCUUCAAAGAAAUACAAAGCAUA